AUCAUGAAAUCCUCAAUAUUCUUUAUUGCACUAUUUGGUAAAAUAUAUACUGGGUAUUUUAUCAGUCGAAAUAUUUGCAGGCUUAUAAUGUGCACUGUGGUGCACUGAACACUGAGUGCGCACUCACACCAGUUCUGUCAGUGAAAAACUGAAAAACGCAAUUGGCUGCGUUCGGAAACGUCACCCGGAUAUACACGGGUAUACUCCCUUCUCCUUCUAACUCGCUGAGAUAGAAAGAGAAGGGAGUAUACUCGUGUACACUCGGGUAAUGUUUUCGAACGCAGCCAUGAUGGCAUGCAGCCGAUGCGUGGCGCGCGUUGCGGCCGUAUGAUAUUGGGAAUGGCUAAACUGCGAUACGCUAUCUGGUGGCAAAAACAGAACUAAAAAGAGUAGGUCGCCGGCUGCCACAUAAAUAAAUCGAAUUGCGGCAUGAAGGCGUCGAAUUGGUAAAAUUGCAUAUUUCACUUAUGGGCAGUCUCAUUUUAAUUACUGAAAUUUAUAAAUAAGCACAUACGUCGUAUUGUAUUGUGACAAGUGACCUACUCUCUCCGGCCAUUUUGCCUUGGUGACGUCACGACCGCCAAUCCCAAUAUAUGAUGGCUGCGGCGGCUGCGCGCUUGUGUUGUGGUAGUGUUAUAUAUAUCUCGAUUGUUAGCAUGAAAUUAACCUAAUUUCUGUCAACUUUAUAUACUUAACGUUUAAUAUCGAGGUAGAGCGUUACUUUUUUCUGCCAGAUUCUUUUGUUUCGUGCAAAAACGCGUCGAUUGAGCAUAAUAAUUGAUCAUCGAUACUUGAGCAUCAUCGAUAUUUGAGAGUAUGUAAAUGGGUUGAUCUUGACAACGCCACGCCUACUGAUGUGGGAAUAACACUUCCCACAUCUCUCACUGCGUAAGCAGCGUUCUCUGCGCACGCAGCAUCCGGGUCAGCGUCCGCCUUCUAGAGGGAGGAGCAUUAUCACCCAUUGCUGGACCAUUUUGCUGUAGUCACACACUCAGUGAACAAAUAAAGAACCGUUUUUGGCAUUUUUAGCGCCGAAGAAGCUCAAAUUUAGGGACUUGAACAAGAAAAUACAUCUGCAAAAUGGAGCAGGGCUCCUCCGCCACCUUUGAAUUUACAAGUUGACACAUUCACAUUCCAGCAAAUUGAAAUUGACCAUUAUAGGUUGACAGACCGAAUUAUGUUUCAAGCGGAUUGCCAUCUUCAUCAGUAGUCGGAUAAAUAGCAGAGUGGGGAAUCUGAUGUGAUCAAGGAUCAUGUGCUGCAGAGUAAACAAAUGGAUCGUCGUGAGAACAAAUCGAUCAAUUUUGAAGGAAGAGUUCCGUUCGAUUUAUUACUGGUAUUAGUCCGAGAUUAUAAACUGAGAUCUUACACUCUAAACGCGGUAUCAUAUCAUUUCCUUCAAGAAUAAAAAGAAGAUGUCCAGCAUAAGGAUAUUACGGGAUUACAAAACGGAAAUACACAGACUCGCGGUUUCUCAACUUCUACGUAAGACCAGGGAAAAGGAUUACUUGCUGCCAACGCAUCAGGGCCACGGUACUGAUGAGCAAUUCGAAGGAACGAGAGUUGAAAGUGUCGGCAAAUUCCGUGUAUGGUUUCACGGGUGCGCAGAUGGGAAAAUUACCUUGGAAAUAUCUGCUGGAUUUGAAUUCGGUUCUCUGGCUCACUAGACCAGCGCACAUCUCUCUGCGCCACGAUCGCCACUGGAAAUAUCUGCUAGCGUUACCGCUUAUGGACGCACUAUGAUAGGACUAACAAAGCAAGCAGUGGAGGAUCGCUUUCGAGUAGAAAAACGAUGCGACAGUCAUAUACGGCGGCACGGAUUCCGUGAUGAUAAAGUUUGGCGUAAAAUCUAUAGAAGAUGCAAUAUAUGGAACUCGGUAGAGAGGCGGCCGAUUACGUGACGUCUAAAUUCAUCAAGCCAUAAAUCUGGAGUUUGAGAAAGUGUAUUUUCCGUAUCUCUUAGGCCCGGUUUCACCAAUGUGAUUUAAUCGACCGAUUAGAUUAAAUCACGUUGGUGAAACCGGGCCUUAAUCAACAAGAAACGUUAUGCUGGCCUGUAUUUUACGAAAGUAAAUACAGAAUACUGAAGUGACUGAAGUAUUCGAUACGCACGAAUUUACUUUUAAUCUAACAAUUAAGGUACUUAAUUACUUCACGAGUUGACUGCGCUCGGUCAACCACGAUUUUCUAAUUUUAUAAUUGCUCGAAACACUGUGUAACAGAUCGACUUAUAUUUUUUCAUUUAAAUAAAAAUAAUUUUAUUUUUCGG